CGCAUCCCUGCCGUCCCCCUCGCGCUGCCCUAGCCGCCUCCUCUGCCACCUCUCUGCCGACGCUCUCCCCCCUCCUGCUGUCGUCGCCCUCCCACCACCACCCCUCCUACCGCGCUAGCCGUCGCCGCCACUCCUCGUCCGCCCUGCGCCCCCACCUCCGCCUCCGCGCCACUCCUCUGCGCUCGAAUCCGCCAGCCAACUACAGCCCCCGCGCUGUCGCCCAGCUUCCCUACCUUCAACGCCACGCCCGUAGCGCCUCGCCUCGAGCUGCGCGGGUCGACGCCAUCCCUGUCGCUCUGUGCCACGCUGAGCCUCGGCCAGCCUUCCGCCCCAUCACGCUUGAGUGGGCUUGUGGAGGUGAAUUUGGUUGUGGAGGGGGAUGCUGCUGGAGGCUCGUCGGUGGAAGAGGACAACAUCGAUGGUGGCUUCGGCUCCCUCCACAGCAUGUUGCAGUAGGCUAUUGGAAAUUCUGAUCCAGAGAAGCUGAAAAAGGAGGAAGCUGAUGUGCAAGAAAUUGUCUGCAGAUGAGCUGCUGAAGCCGCACCAGGAGAUUAAGCAGGAGUUGAUGGUGAAGUGAAAGAUACCAUCAGAUGCUGACUUAAUGAAAGUUGCAAUUGCUGACUUAAAAAACUCUUCCAUUUCUCUGAAGGAUCGCCAGCGUGCAUUGCAGGAACUUUUAAUUCUUUUUGAGCCCCUUGACAAUGCUAAUGAUCUGGACAAAUUUGGGGAGCCUUCUUCCUGUGAUUCAAGAGCUUAAUAAUGCAAAUGAAGAAAUAUCAACCACCUGUGGGCUUGCUUUCUUGCAAUUUCCAAUGGUUUAUCUCUGCUAUCGUGCAGAUGGAUGACUUCCUGGAGUGAUGCCUCGCUGAUGUUACCAGACACUUUGAACUGAUUAUAAGGUGGUCCCUCAGAAUAAGCCUAAAACGUAAAACUUUCUUCUUUCUUUGAUAAAAAUUUUGGAAUCUGUAAUGUCUGCAUGUUUCUUUAGAAUUGUGUUUUUUUAGGUUAAUAAAGAUUUGGAGGCCUCUGAUCAAAGCGAACUUAUUCGGGGACAAACUGCAUUCCUGAAAGGCAUUGGAGUUAUAUCACUUGCUUUCAUAUCACUUUCCUGAAACUUCAUUCUUUAUUGAAAUAUUUGUGUUUAAAGCUAACUGGAAGGCAAACAUAGGAAGCUUAUGUCUUAAGCCAAGAAAGAUUUCAGAAGCAAUAGCGGGAUGGUUUGAGGUAAUAAAUCUGGCAUAUAUAGCUGCUUUUAAAUUCUCAAAAGCUACUCAGAAGAAUAUCGGUUACUUCUAACAUGUCCGACUUUUAGUCAUUGGUGAAGUGGAGCCUAAUGGCACUCACUACAUUGGAUUGUCUGGGACAAAUUGCAACUCAAAAGCUUUAGUGCCUUGGUUGUAUGAGUUUGACCUUUUUAAACAAAGAAACUGUUCAAUGUAUUCUACAAUAACUUUGUUGUUUUUACAGUGUACUAUUCUUGUGUGAGAUUCUGAAAGACCGAGCAAUUGUGAUUUACAUCUCUUUUGGGAGAGUGAUCUUUAUCUCCUAUCUGUGUAGGCCUAUCAUUUUCACCUGGUGGAAGUGCAUGCUUUUCCUGACCAUAUUGUAGUUAUAUUGUAGUUAGAGCAACUAGAUGCUGGGAGCUGCUGCCUUUUAAACCUGGUUGCGCUCAGCUGGAGGCAGUGUCCUUCAGAAAUCUUGGAGCUCGAGUUCACGGCAAUGGCGGCUCUGAAGAAAAUGAUCCAGAAGACUAGAACGUCUUCCAAAGUGCCUGAUAACCUUCUGGAAUCUUAACAGUAGCAAAUAUGACUUGACAAACGAUGUUCUCUUAGAUAAAGGGUAGAGAGCGACUUCUUUACUUGGUGGAUUUUAGGAUUUUGGCACUUUCUGCAGCAAGGUGCUCCAGCUUGUCGAUGCCUGUUUUCUGGAAACCACAAGUUGUGCUAUAAUCUUUCUGAACGUCUGUGUUGGAGUAUAAGGAAUUGUGUAUCUAUGUGUGUACUUUUAAAAAAAGGAAUUCUGUUGCA